rnacentral:rRNA from 1 species
GAUGAACGCUGGCGGCGUGCCUAAUACAUGCAAGUCGAGCGAACAGAUGAGGAGCUUGCUCCUCUGACGUUAGCGGCGGACGGGUGAGUAACACGUGGAUAACCUACCUAUAAGACUGGGAUAACUUCGGGAAACCGGAGCUAAUACCGGAUAAUAUAUUGAACCGCAUGGUUCAAUAGUGAAAGACGGUUUUGCUGUCACUUAUAGAUGGAUCCGCGCAGCAUUAGCUAGUUGGUAAGGUAACGGCUUACCAAGGCGACGAUGCGUAGCCGACCUGAGAGGGUGAUCGGCCACACUGGAACUGAGACACGGUCCAGACUCCUACGGGAGGCAGCAGUAGGGAAUCUUCCGCAAUGGGCGAAAGCCUGACGGAGCAACGCCGCGUGAGUGAUGAAGGUCUUCGGAUCGUAAAACUCUGUUAUUAGGGAAGAACAAAUGUGUAAGUAACUAUGCACGUCUUGACGGUACCUAAUCAGAAAGCCACGGCUAACUACGUG